rnacentral:rRNA from 1 species
GUGUCAGCCGCCGCGGUAAUACGAAGGGGGCUAGCGUUGUUCGGAAUUACUGGGCGUAAAGCGUGCGCAGGCGGCCUUUCAAGUCAGGGGUGAAAGCCCAGAGCUCAACUCUGGAAUUGCCUUUGAAACUGUUUGGCUUGAGUGCGGGAGAGGUGAGUGGAAUUCCCAGUGUAGAGGUGAAGUUCGUAGAUAUUAGGAAGAACACCGGUGGCGAAGGCGGCUCACUGGCCCGUUUCUGACGCUCAUGCA